GCUGGUUGGAAAAUAGUAAAAUAAGAGAGACGCUGCACACUAAAGGGUGUUGUCAGAGUCCCUUCUAGUUUGGAAGAUAUACUUCCUCUUUCAGAAAUAAAUGCCAAAAGAGCCUUAUGCAACGUACAUAUAAGAAUCCACAACUUUUUUGAUGCAGAAUCAGUGAUGUGGACUGUUGCUGCCACCACAGUGAUCAUGUUUGGAUUUUCUAUUUUUUUACUUCAAUCAAAGGUAAGCAGUCUGGGGUUAAAUGUCUUGCGUAAACAUU
rnacentral:lncRNA from 11 species